GUAGUGAUGGCUCAGUAGUUAGAGCACUGACUGUUCUUCCAGAGGACCUGGGUUCAACUCCCAGCACCCACA
rnacentral:tRNA from 1 species